rnacentral:tRNA from 1 species
GGGCACGUAGCUCAGCUAGGACAGAGCGUCGGACUUCUAACCGCGCCGGUGUUCCGGUGUGGGGAGAGAUCCGAUGGCCGUGGGUUCGAAUCCCACCGUGCUCG